rnacentral:rRNA from 1 species
AGAGUUCGAUCCUGGCUCAGGAUGAACGCUAGCUACAGGCUUAACACAUGCAAGUCGAGGGGCAGCAUUGAGAUAGCUUGCUAUUUCAGAUGGCGACCGGCGCACGGGUGAGUAACGCGUAUCCAACCUUCCCCUUAGUAGGGGAUAGCCCGGUGAAAAUCGGAUUAAUACCCUAUGUUGUUCGAAGCAGACAUCUAAAUUGAACCAAAGGUUUACCGCUAAGGGAUGGGGAUGCGUCUGAUUAGGUAGUAGGCGGGGUAACGGCCCACCUAGCCGACGAUCAGUAGGGGUUCUGAGAGGAAGGUCCCCCACAUUGGAACUGAGCCAUGAUCAAACUC